AAUGCUCUGUGACUGAGUGGUUAGAAAAAAAAAAAAUCUGUUCUUAUCAGUUUAAUAUCUGAUACGUCCCCUAUCUGGGGACCAUAUAUUAAAUGGAUUUUUGGGACAGGGAGAUGGAAGAAGAGCUUGCUCUGUCCACUCCACGCAUUGACCUGGUAUUGCAGUACCUCCAGGACCGGUGCACCUCUC